rnacentral:rRNA from 1 species
CCCCCCCUACGGGGGGCAGCAGUAGGGAAUCUUCCACAAUGGGCGAAAGCCUGAUGGAGCAACGCCGCGUGGGUGAAGAAGGUCUUCGGAUUGUAAAACCCUGUUGUUAGAGAAGAAAGUGCGUGAGAGUAACUGUUCACGUUUCGACGGUAUCUAACCAGAAAGCCACGGCUAACUACGUGCCAGCAGCCGCGGUAAUACGUAGGUGGCAAGCGUUAUCCGGAUUUAUUGGGCGUAAAGGGAAUGCAGGCGGUCUUUUAAGUCUGAUGUGAAAGCCUUCGGCUUAACCGGGGUAGUGCCUUGGG